UUUGAGGCCCCUGGGCCUUUCUCAGAGCAGGCCAGUCUACUAGACCUGGACUUCGAGCCCCUUCCACCAGUGGCAAGCCCUGUGAAGGCACCCACACCCUCUGGUCAGGUUGGUUGUGCCCACCAAUGCCCAUCCAUCAGCCUCAGGACCAAGCCUUGUGCUUGUGUGAACUACAUAGGCUCCAGUCUUUGUGGGGGUGGGAGGUGUGAGGCCUUUUGCCCAGUGACCUAGACCUUAUCCCAGUCCUUAGCCCGCUUGACUUCCUUUGGAUGUAGAACAGAUGUGGGCUAACUGGGUUGCUCUCACUCAGGGCAUAUCUCACAACCUCUGGUCAUUCCAGCAUCCUGCCCCUUCAUUAGCUACCCUGUGGGCCUCCCUGAGCUGGGGUCUGAAGCCAUUAGAGUCAAGCUUGGAGCCUGCAGGAUUGGGUUGUGAGUGGGGUCCCUUGGUGAGCUUGCUACCCUGUCUCUAACCUGCUAACUGACUUUGUCCUUUUCCUGUUACUGCUGCCCUUAGUCAAUCCCAUGGGACCUCUGGGAGGUAAGCCACACACUUGUUCUGCACCAGUCCUGCACCCCUGGGGGCUGUCUCUCUUUGUGCAACACCUCCCUCACUCCUUUAUCCAGUCUCUCUAUGGCAUGCUUGCUUAUCUGUGCUCGUGUACACAGGGUGCAGGGAGACUGCAUCCCUUUAUCAGGACCUUGGUAAUGGGGCUCCUUGGUAC
rnacentral:lncRNA from 1 species